GGUCCGCUGGCGUAAUGGCAGCGCGUCUGACUACGACUCAUUAUUUGAAGACAUUCGGAUGGAUCAAGUAAUCAGGAGGUUCCAGGUUCGACCCCUGGGCGGAUCG